GUAACCCUAGUCAACCUGCCCUGGAGACAUGGAAAACCCCGGGAAACUGGCCAUUAAUCCGUGAUAGGUCACCUCAUCUGGAAGGAGAGAUGGCUUAAAGGGGUGCGAGAGCUUCUUUCUUGCAUUCGCUCCAGGAUGGGACUGCGGCCGAUCAGGCUGUUGGCGGUGUAAUGGACCACCAAACCUGUAACCGGUACGGGCCUUGAGAGAGGGGGCCCGGAGAUGGACACUGAGAGAAGGGUCCAGGUCCUACGGGGCGCAGCAGGCGCGAAACCUUCGCAAUGCGCGAAAGCGUGACGAGGUUAAUCCGAGUGGUCCCCGCUGAGGGGAUCUUUUGUUGGCUGUAAAAAGGCCGAUGAAUAAGGGGAGGGCAAGUCUGGUGUCAGCCGCCGCGGUAAUACCAGCUCCUCGAGUGGUCGGGGCGAUUAUUGGGCCUAAAGCAUCCGUAGCCGGUUCUGUAGGUCCUCUGUCAAAUCCAACGGCUUAACCGUUGGCCCGCAGAGGAUACCGCAGGACU
rnacentral:rRNA from 1 species